UACGUAGGGGGCAAGCGUUGUCCGGAAUCAUUGGGCGUAAAGCGCGUGUAGGCGGCUGGCUAAGUCCGCUCUGAAAGCCCGGGGCUCAACCCCGGGAGGCGGGUGGAUACUGGUCAGCUCGAGUCCGGAAGAGGAGUGUGGAAUUCCUGGUGUAGCGGUGAAAUGCGUAGAUAUCCGGAGGAACACCGGUGGCGAAGGCGGCUUCCUGGACCGACACUGACGCUGAGGCGCGAAAGCUAGGGGAGCAAACGGG
rnacentral:rRNA from 1 species